AUGAAAGUGCAGCAGAGACCUCAGGAAGUUGGAAAUGCCACAAACAUGGAACGUCACUUGAGGAAAGCUGCAAUUAAUGGGGGUCUGUGCAGAGAGCUGGGCCAUGGCUCUGCAGUGGCGGGUGCGGUCCCUGGAGCCUGUGGGAAAGCUGGUAUACAGCACAAACCUCCUGAUGUGUUUGACUUUAUUGAUGAUUCUGUGAACUCAAGCAGGCUAAGUGAAAAUGAGAAACAUGAAGAACUUUAUGAAACUUUUGAUCCUCCGUUACAUAGCACUGCUGUAUAUGCUGAUGAAGAAGAAUUUUCCAAACACUGUGGAUUAUCUAUCCCUUCAACUCCCCAAGGAAAAGGAAGAAAGAAAAAUUCCAACAUGUCUGAAAAUGAAGCAAGUGAAGAUGACUCUGUAAAAAUUAGUGCAAAAAAGUCAAAAAGAAAACUCAAGCCCCUUAGUGACGAGUAUGAAAGUGAUGACGAAGGUGACAUAAGAAGAAAAGUUAAAUCAGCAGAGAAAAUCAGUACACAGAAGCAUGAAGCUGUUCCUGCUGUGGCAUCUUCAGACUCUUUGGAGAAACCAGCUGGGCCAGUCACCCCUAAAGGACAGGGUCCCCCAGUGCCCAGGCCUCUUUCGGAAAAGUGACACUGGAGACACAAAGUCAGCCGAGAUUUCAGAAAAAAAAGAAGACGUCUCCUGGGGAAAGGAAGAAAGCAAGUAGUAAACCUGUAGACUCAUAUAUUUCUGAUAGUAUGCAUAUUUGGUGUCUAGAAGGAAAGAAUCAGUGACAUCAUGGAGUUGGAUAUUAUUUUGUCUGCAAUUGAAAAAACCCUCCUAGAGUAUAAACAAAAAAUAGAAUCUAAAGUUUGUAUGGAAGCCAUCAACAAAUUUUAUUGUAAUAUUAGAGAAGAACUCAUCAAAACGCUCAAAGUCCAGAUGUUGAAAAAUCUGAAAAGGAAGAAUGCAAAGAUGAUUUCUGAUAUGGAAAAGAGAAGGUGGCGGUUGAUUGAAGUCCAGGAUGAACUGCUUGGGUUAGAACCACAGCUGAAACAACUACAAACAAAAUAUGAUGAACUUAAGGACAGAAAGUCUUCCCUUAGGAAUGCCACGUGUUUCUUAUCUAAUUUAAAACAGCUUUAUCAAGAUUAUUCAGAUGUUCAAGAGAAAGAACCAAAUGUAAUGGAAGUGUAUGAUUCAUCCAGCCUUCCAGCUCUGUUAUUUAAAGCAAGAACCCUUUUGGGAGCUGAAUACCAUUUUCAAAAUAUUAACCAUCGACUAGAGAAGCUCCUUGACCAGAAAUGAGAAAAGCUGUCUACUGAAAUGUGCCCACAUGAAGACGUCUCAGGCUACUAUCCAUUAAUUUCUGAAACUUUACUUUUGUAA